rnacentral:rRNA from 1 species
AGAUUGAACGCUAGCGGGAUGCUUUACACAUGCAAGUCGAACGGCAGCGCGGACUUCGGUCUGGCGGCGAGUGGCGAACGGGUGAGUAAUAUAUCGGAACGUGCCCAGUAGCGGGGGAUAACUACGCGAAAGCGUGGCUAAUACCGCAUACGCCCUACGGGGGAAAGGGGGGGAUCGCAAGACCUCUCACUAUUGGAGAGGCCGAUAUCAGAUUAGCUAGUUGGUGAGGUAAAGGCUCACCAAGGCGACGAUCUGUAGCUGGUUUGAGAGGACGACCAGCCACACUGGGACUGAGACACGGCCCAGACUCCUACGGGAGCAGCAGUGGGGUAAUUUUGGGAAC